UGGGGAAUAUUGGACAAUGGGCGCAAGCCUGAUCCAGCCAUGCCGCGUGAGUGAUGAAGGCCCUAGGGUUGUAAAGCUCUUUCACCGGUGAAGAUAAUGACGGUAACCGGAGAAGAAGCCCCGGCUAACUUCGUGCCAGCAGCCGCGGUAAUACGAAGGGGGCUAGCGUUGUUCGGAUUUACUGGGCGUAAAGCGCACGUAGGCGGACUAUUAAGUCAGGGGUGAAAUCCCGGGGCUCAACCCCGGAACUGCCUUUG
rnacentral:rRNA from 1 species